GAUCAUGGCUCAGGACGAACGCUGGCGGCGUGCCUAACACAUGCAAGUCGAACGGAGAUGUUUAUUUCGGUAGAUAUCUUAGUGGCGCACGGGUGAGUAACGCGUGAAUAACCUGACCCGAAGAGGGGGAUAACACCUAGAAACAAGUGCUAAUACCGCAUAAGACCACGGACCGGCAUCGGUCAGAGGUCAAAGGAGGAAUCCGCUUUGGGAGGGGUUCGCGUCCCAUUAGGUAGUUGGUGAGGUAACGGCCCACCAAGCCG
rnacentral:rRNA from 1 species